rnacentral:rRNA from 1 species
CAUAGCGGAGGAAAAGAAACCAACAGGGGAUUGCCUCAGUAACGGCGAGUGAAGCGGCAAAAGCUCAGAUUUGAAAUCUGGCGUCUUAUGGCGUCCGAGUUGUAAUCUGUAGAGGAGUGUUCGAGCAUAGCUUUGGCUUAAGUUCCUUGGAACAGGACGUCAUGGAGGGUGAGAAUCCCGUGUACGGCCUUUGACUUGUGCUUAUGUGAACCUCCUUCAACGAGUCGAGUUGUUUGGGAAUGCAGCUCUAAAUGGGUGGUAAAUUUCAUCUAAAGCUAAAUACUGGCAGGAGACCGAUAGCGCACAAGUAGAGUGAUCGAAAGAUGAAAAGAACUUUGGAAAGAGAGUUAAAUAGUACGUGAAAUUGUUGAAAGGGAAGCACUUGCUCCCAGACUUGCCUGCAGCUGAUCAAUCACCAUUUUUGGUGGUGCACUUGGUUGUAGGCAGGCCAGCAUCAGUCCAGACGACGAGAAAAAGGUGCAGGGAAUGUGGCUCUUUUCGGAGAGUGUUAUAGCCCUGUACGUAAUGUCGCCUGCCUGGACUGAGGCCCGCGCUUCGGCGAGGAUGCUGGCGUAAUGGUCGUAAGUGACCCGUCUUGAAACACGGACCAAGGAGUCUAACAGCUGUGCGAGUGUUUGGGUGGAAAACCCUCACGCGCAAUGAAAGUGAAUGGAGGUGGGAACCGCAAGGUGCACCAUCGACCGAUCCUGAUGUCUUCGGAUGGAUUUGAGUAGGAGCAUAGCUGUUGGGACCCGAAAGAUGGUGAACUAUGCCUGAAUAGGGUGAAGCCAGAGGAAACUCUGGUGGAGGCUCGCAGCGGUUCUGACGUGCAAAUCGAUCGUCAAAUUUGGGUAUAGGGGCGAAAGACUAAUCGAACCAUCUAGU